rnacentral:rRNA from 1 species
UACGAAGGGGGCUAGCGUUGCUCGGAAUCACUGGGCGUAAAGCGCACGUAGGCGGCUUUUUAAGUCGGGUGUGAAAUCUCGGGGCUUAACUCCGAAACUGCAUUCGAUACUGCCGUGCUUGAGGACUGGAGAGGAGACUGGAAUUUACGGUGUAGCGGUGAAAUGCGUAGAUAUCGUAAGGAAGACCAGUGGCGAAGGCGGGUCUCUGGACAGUUCCUGACGCUGAGGCACGAAGGCCAGGGGAGCAAACGGG